rnacentral:rRNA from 1 species
UACAGAGGGUGCAAGCGUUAAUCGGAAUUACUGGGCGUAAAGCGUGCGUAGACGGUUAUGUAAGUCGGGUGUGAAAGCCCCGGGCUCAACCUGGGAAUUGCAUUCGAGACUGUAUAGCUAGGGUACGGAAGAGGGAAGCGGAAUUUCAGGUGUAGCGGUGAAAUGCGUAGAUAUCUGAAGGAACACCAGUGGCGAAAGCGGCUUCCUGGUCCAGUACCGACGUUCAGGCACGAAAGCGUGGGGAGCAAACAGG